GCUUCUCCUUUGUCUGAGCUCGUCAGCAAGCAAGGAGCCUUGAAGGGAGGGAGACUGCGAGUACAAUCCGCCGCCGUCCGAGCUCAUCAGCUAGCAAGCAAGCAGGCGGGAAGGGAAGGAGACUGCGAGUAUAGUACGCUACCGUCCGUCCCGUGACCGGUUGUGAUUGCCAAUUAACAGAGUUCGGGCCAGUUGUCAUUGUUAAGCUCCGAGGAAGUGACCCAGCAGCUGGCACAGUUGAGAUAUGGACACGCACAUAGUUCGUCUCGAGGUGGACCGUAUCACGAAGAGGCACCACCAGCUUUGGGAUGAGGAGUUAGACAUUUUUUUCUCAUCAUAUAAGGUCUUAGUUAUCAUUGGUAUCAGUAUGUAUGUCUACAUGCAUCUGAUUGUGCAUAGCGAGACUUUCAUUCCCCGAUACUACUUAGGGCUUGGCCCCAGCCUACCUACAGCUUGCCUCGUGGCUCUAGUUACGGGGAUCUACCUUCUUUUCUGUUGGAUGAUGGUCCGUAAUGAAGAUCACACCAAGAAGACCCAUGCUUUAUGUAGGAGGCUGAGGAGCUUGAAACAAGAAGCGAUAGAUUUGUGUGAGUCCUACUCAAACUCUCCAGAUAUGACUGCGCGUUAUUCUAUAUACAGACUCUCGUUUGUUCGAGAUCUCAUUGAUCCAGAUCGAGUCCGGGACGAGUUUGCAUCUCACUGCCGAACUUCGCUCUGGAUGCUCGCUCUUUAUUCUUUAUCACUGAUCACGUGGGCGAUGCUUUUGUUAUAUGAAAUUCGUAUUUUUUCAUAGGUGUCCCUUAAUGUUCCUUCUACCUGAUGAGGGGUAUAUAGUGCCAACCGUUAGAUAAAGUACAGAUUAAUCAUGCGGCAAAUCCAUUUUGAAGGAUAGGCAAUUGGAGUACGUUGUUGUAGGCCCGCUUGGCUUCGGAGCUGAUCCUACGUAAAUCUGGUCAUUUUAUAGUUAGGUUGGGUUGAAACAUCUGUUAUAUGUCCUGAAAAUGAUCCUUUGAACCAAUGACUUAGAAAAAGCAUUUUGACUUGUAAUUAUGGUUUUGGUGGAUUGCAUCUGAUAUUGUCAACUUAUAUAUUGAAAAGGAGAUUUCAACUCCUUUAUUGGCA